GUGUUUUAUAUCUUUGUGUGUGCGGGUGUGGAAAAGCUUCCAUUUGAGAGAAUACCUUGGAGAGGAAGCUAUGGAGCUUUUAAAGAAAUAUUAAUCUAAUGGAUUCGUUUUGUGAGGUGUAUAUUUUGUUGAGAUUGCUAGCAUGGGAAGGGUAAAGCUGUAAACCUUGAGAUGGAGGUGGUUUCAGCUACCGCUCGAUUGUUUAGACUAUGGUGCAACCCAUGGUGGCGGGACAACCCACCUAUCGGGGUUCCAUGGAUAAGCGCAAGUCGUAUUAGUAGCACAUAGAUUGUCGAUUGUCAUGGCGGUCGUUCGUCUGGACCAUCUAUCACUCAGACGACCUGACCCUCGAUGCUGUUGUAGUUGGUUCUGGCUUACGGUUUUUAAGACAGUAGGGGAUGAAUCGUAUUUCAGUGGCUUCGUAUUGUAUAAUUUUCAGUAUAAUAAUAUUAUUAGAUCUUUUCAUCGUAA